UGCGACGGAAAAAUUUUCUGUCUCAAAAAGUCACCUUUUGCGACGGCGCAAGCUACGCCCUAUUUUGCCGUAGUAUAUAUUUGAGUUUCUGCGACGGAUAUAAUAUUCCCGUCGUAUAAUUAAAACUAAUUGCAACACUUUAGCCACGCCGUAGUGUGAAUUAUUAGGAAAAAAGAAAAGAAAAACCGAGUCAUCUAGACGUGUGGCUGCUCUCUUUUCGAUCUUCUUCUCCUCCUCUCUCUCUCUCUCUGCUCUUUUUCGUCUCCUCUUGGAUGGCCACCCCGAACAGAACCCCCUCUAUUAUUUCCUCUCUCAAUCACUCUAUAGAUAUGGUGGUCGUGGAAUCACUGUGAUGGCUGACGGAGUUGACUAUAAUGCCCAAGAAGCACCGCGCCAUCGCCGGUGUCGGCAUCAUCAUCACCGCCGCCGUCACUCUUUUUCCGGAUCUGAAAACCAAGCCUUUGAGUAGUACCAAAUCUCUGAGUCGGUGCUCUGCAAGCAAUUCCGAAUUUCAAAGGUUUUUGAGGUUGGUAAACUUUCAGAGGCUGAAGCGCGAAGCUUGGAAGAGCUUCGGGAUUAAACCCUAGCUCGAUUUAGUUUCUUCAAAACAACAAGUUGAAUGGUAGCCCUCCUGAAAAUAAAAGCUCGUCCCUUCUUAAUGUGGAAUUCUAGUUUCGAAGGAUUUUGAUAUAUGAAAGGAGGCAGGUGGGAAAUCUUUGCAAGCCGUUCAGAAGGAAUACAAGGCCCUAGCUCACACAACUACCUUGAAAUUAAUCUCUUUUGGGCUGGAAAGGGGACUUGCUGCGUACCUGAGAUUUCCCACCUACUAUCGUUCUGAACCAUCCAACUAGUAGGAAGAAUAGGACGGGGCUGAUUGUGGGGAUUGUUGUUGGUGGUGGAGUACUUUUGAUUCUAUUGUUGUUGGUUUUCUGUAUUUUUCAAAGAAGAAAAAAGGAUUAACACCAGUAAAAAUGAAGGAUCCAAAGGAAUGGCCGAUUAUUGAGCCAUUGCCUUCUUAUGGAAGAGGGAGAGAGAGAGGUUAGGAGGAAGGCAUAUAAGCCUUAUUCAUGGGGAUGGUCUCACAGAUGUUGUCAUUACAGAUUAACCUGCUAAGUACAUUAUGUAUUCAAAUGGUUUUUGAUUUGGUCGACCCACAAAUAGAAGUCCUGAAACACUGCCAAGUGUUAAAUAAGGUACUCGAUAAGAAUGGGGCUGCUCCAGCUAGAAGUGUUUUGGCGUGGAUUCUAAUAUAAAUUUGAAAGUAUGCAUAGUAGCAGCUGUGGUUGAUAAUCUGGGGUUGAUAAUCUGGCCAUUUUUUUACUUCUAAUGAAGGUGCUGCAGUGUUGGCAUGGGUUGCUUUGGCUCAUCUUUUUUUUAAACAAUCUUUGGCUGGUCUUAGAAUUGUGAUUGUUGGUUGGUUAUAGAUGAUGGGUUUCAUAAUAUUUUUAAAUUUAUGAUAUUUGGUGGAUUAUACUAGCUUUGGUGUGCAAUCCACACCUUUUUUAUUAUUAUUUUUUUAUAAAUGAAAUAUUCUUUUGCGACG